CCUACGGGUGACAGCAGUGAGGAAUAUUGGUCAAUGGACGAGAGUCUGAACCAGCCAAGUAGCGUGAAGGAUGACUGCCCUAUUGGUUGUAAACUUCUUUUAUAUGGGAAUAAAAUGUUCCACGUGUGGGAUUUUGUAUGUACCAUAUGAAUAAGGAUCGGCUAACUCCGUGCCAGCAGCCGCGGUAAUACGGAGGAUCCGAGCGUUAUCCGGAUUUAUUGGGUUUAAAGGGAGCGUAGGUGGAUUGUUAAGUCAGUUGUGAAAGUUUGCGGCUCAACCGUAAAAUUGCAGUUGAAACUGGCAGUCUUGAGUACAGUAGAGGUGGGCGGAAUUCGUGGUGUAGCGGUGAAAUGCUUAGAUAUCACGAAGAACUCCGAUUGCGAAGGCAGUUCACUGGACUGCAACUGACACUGAGGCUCGAAAGUGUGGGUAUCAAACAGGAUUAGAUACCCCUGUAGUC
rnacentral:rRNA from 1 species